CAACUUUCUAUUCUUCGUCCUCUGAACCGAUAGAUUCGCUACCGUCCUCGCUGUCGCUGUUUUCGACAUCCUCGUCGUUAUCAGAGAAUAAAGGUUCUUUAACAUCAAUAUCAUCCAUAUCAUCAACAUUUUCAAGAGAUGAUGCCUCAUUCAAAUAUGAAACAGAUGGAUUUUUAGGGACUGGUGCAGCUUUUUCUUCAGCAAGACUGGAGUCCAUUAGUCCAUGCUUUGUCGCGUAAUCAUUUACUGCUCUAAAGACACUUUGAUCAACCAUAUCGAAUGAAUAUAUUGUACCACCAGCUUCAAAAUUAACUGUAAAUGUUCGUUGCAAAACAUUACUAUAGGAAAAAUGCUGGAUGCUAGCUAGUUCAAUGAAAAGUAUAGGUUUACGGAAGCCCCAUAGUAUGCCAGUACGCAGAAAAAAUAAAUGCCCUAUUUGAUUAGCAAUUUUGACACAGAAUUCAUCCUUUGCAUACCAUCUUUAGCUUUAUAGUUUGCUUCAACCCCAUAUGUCGUGCCAUUGUCCCCCGUUUGCGGGUUUGGACAAACAAAUUCUUCGACAGAAGGAGACAAAGUACUAGUGCCAAUAAACUCAAAGUAAUCGCGAAAAAUAUCCCAUGAGUUCGUGCAGUGGGUGAAGGAUCGUAAACCUUCAACGAGGUUGAGCUUUUUCAAAGGAUACGGUGCCGUAAAAAAGACAGGUUCUUUUACAUUAUCACUUGAAACAAUAUUUUCUGCCGACGAUUCACUUUUAAGGAUGAUCACAAAGUUGUUUUGAACAUUAGCUUUCCUUGGACAUGGGACAUGGAUUGCACAACGAAUUUCAUUCCAGGGAAGCCAAAAUUCAAUUAAAUUG